GAUCGGUCGCCUCGUAACAGAGGGCCAUGAACCUCGUCAGGUCCGGAAGGAAGCAGCGAUAAGUGAUACCUUCUGUGUCGUGGAUUGAUCCCGGUCA
rnacentral:SRP_RNA from 1 species